rnacentral:tRNA from 1 species
GUUAUAGUAGUUUAUAAAAACAUUGGUCUUGUAAACCAAAAUUGAGAAUAAAUUCUCCUAAAACC